rnacentral:misc_RNA from 1 species
GAAAUGCGAUAAGUAAUGUGAAUUGCAGAAUUCAGUGAAUCAUCGAAUCUUUGAACGCACAUUGCGCCCCCUGGCAUUCCGGGGGGCAUGCCUGUCCGAGCGUCAUUUCUGCCCUCAAGCGCGGCUUGUGUGUUGGGCGUGGUCCCCCCGGGGACCUGCCCGAAAGGCAGCGGCGACGUCCGUCCGGUCCUCGAGCGUAUGGGGCUCUGUCACUCGCUCGGGACGGAUCGGCGGAGGUUGGUCACCACCACAGUUUUACCACGGUUGACCUCGGAUCAGGUAGGAGUUACCCGCUGAACUUAA